GACGAACGCUGGCGGCGUGCUUAACACAUGCAAGUCGAACGGAAAGGCCCUGCUUUUGUGGGGUGCUCGAUUGGCGAACGGGUGAGUAACACGUGAGUAACCUGCCCUUGACUUUGGGAUAACUUCAGGAAACUGGGGCUAAUAUCGGAUAGGAGCUCCUGCUGCAUGGUGGGGGUUGGAAAGUUUCGGCGGUUGGGGAUGGACUCGCGGCUUAUCAGCUUGUUGGUGGGGUAGUGGCUUACCAAGGCUUUGACGGGUAGCCGGCCUGGGAGGGUGGCCGGCCACAUUAGGACUGCGAUACGGCGCAGACUCCAACGGGAGGCAACAGUGGGAAAUAUUGCACAGUGAGCGGAAGCCUGAUGCAGCAACGCCGCGUGCGGGAUGCCGGCUUUCGGGUUAUAAACCGCUUUCGCCUGUGACGAAGCGUGAGUGACGGUAAUGGGUAAAGAAGCACCGGCUAACUACGUG
rnacentral:rRNA from 1 species